AACCUCCGCAAUGUGAGAAAUCGCGACGGGGGGAUCCCAAGUGCCAUUCUUAACGGGAUGGCUUUUCAUUAGUGUAAAGAGCUUUUGGAAUAAGGGCUGGGCAAGACCGGUGCCAGCCGCCGCGGUAACACCGGCAGCUCUAGUGGUAACAAUUUUUAUUGGGCCUAAAGCGUCCGUAGCCGGUUUAAUAAGUCUCUGGUGAAAUCCUGUGGCUUAACUGUGGGAAUUGCUGGAGAUACUAUUAGACUUGAGACCGGGAGAGGUUAGAGGUACUCCCAGGGUAGAGGUGAAAUUCUGUAAUCCUGGGAGGACCGCCUGUUGCGAAGGCGUCUAACUGGAACGGUUCUGACGGUGAGGGACGAAAGUUAGGGGCGCGAACCGGAUUAGAUACCCGGGUAGUCCUAACUGUAAACGAUGCGGACUUGGUGUUGGGGUGGCUUUGAGCUGUUCCAGUGCCGAAGGGAAGCUGUUAAGUCCGCCGCCUGGGAAGUACGGUCGCAAGACUGAAACUUAAAGGAAUU
rnacentral:rRNA from 1 species